rnacentral:lncRNA from 1 species
UUUAACAAGCCUUCUCCUCUCCUCCUCCUCCUCCUCUUUUUUUUUUUUUUUCUGAGCUAGGAUGUCAUUAUAUCACCCACAGACUGGCCUAGAACAGACAGAGACAUGAGGACCCUCCAUGAGACACAGCACAUGUAGGCCUUAGACACCUGCUUGCUGCCAAGUCACACAGCCAAGACAGAGGAUGUCACUCAGGGUCCUGCCAGUUGUGUAACCAGUCUGCAGCAGAAAGUUCCAGAAUGUGUAAGCAUGUGGUGGACAGCUAGGACUGGUUAUUCAGGGGGAUGAUCUAUCUAUGGAGAUAAGAGGACAGUUGAUGGAUUUCUGGCCACUGGCUGCAGGCAAGGUUGGCUUGAAGUGAGGCUGCCUGGGUGUGUGCCCCUGCAGGAAAAGCAGGAGGAAGGAGCCAGGCAAAGAGGACAGCCCUGUGUGGGAAGAUGUGUCACUGGUCAUUCUUUACAAAGAAAAUAAAAAUGAGAUUUCUUGUUGGC